rnacentral:rRNA from 1 species
AAAGGAAUUGACGGGGACCCGCACAAGCGGUGGAUGAUGUUCUUUAAUUCGAUGCAACGCGAAAAACCUUACCCACCUUUGACAUGUAUGGAAUCCUUUAGAGAUGAAGGAGUGCUCGAAAGAGAGCCAUAACACAGGUGCUGCAUGGCUGUCGUCAGCUCGUGUCGUGAGAUGUUGGGUUAAGUCCCGCAACGAGCGCAACCCUUGCCAUUAGUUGCUACGAAAGGGCACUCUAAUGGGACUGCCGGUGACAAACCGGAGGAAGGUGGGGAUGACGUCAAGUCCUCAUGGCCCUUAUAGGGGGGGCUAGAAACGUCAUACAAUGGCCGGUACAAAGGGUAGCCAAGCCGCGAGGUGGAGCCAAUCCCAUAAAGCCGGUCGUAGUCCGGAUCGCAGUCUGCAACUCGACUGCGUGAAGUCGGAAUCGCUAGUAAUCGUGGAUCAGCAUGCCACGGUGAAUACGUUCCCGGGUCUUGCACACACCGCCCGU